AGUGAACGCUGGCGGUAGGCCUAACACAUGCAAGUCGAACGGCAGCACAGUAAGAGCUUGCUCUUACGGGUGGCGAGUGGCGGACGGGUGAGGAAUACAUCGGAAUCUACUUUUUCGUGGGGGAUAACGUAGGGAAACUUACGCUAAUACCGCAUACGACCUACUGGUGAAAGCAGGGGAUCUUCGGACCUUUCGCGAUUGAAUGAGCCGAUGUCGGCUUAGCUAGUUGGCGGGGUAAAGGCCCACCAAGGCGACGAUCCGUAGCUGGUCUGAGAGGAUGAUCAGCCACACUGUAACUGAGACACGGUCCAGACUCCGACGGGGGGAAGCAGUGGGGAAUAUUGCACAAUGGGGGAAAGCCUGAUCCAGCCAUACCGCGUGGGUGAAGAAGGACUUCGGGUUGGAAAGCCCUUUUGUUGGGAAAGAAAAGCAGCAGGUUAAUACCCCGCGGUUCUGACGGUACCCAAAGAAUAAGCACCGGCUAACUUCGUG
rnacentral:rRNA from 1 species